rnacentral:rRNA from 1 species
AGUGAACGCUGGCGGUAGGCCUAACACAUGCAAGUCGAACGGCAGCACAGUAAGAGCUUGCUCUUACUGGUGGCGAGUGGCGGACGGGUGAGGAAUACAUCGGAAUCUACUUUGUCGUGGGGGAUAACGUAGGGAAACUGACGCUAAUACCGCAUACGACCUACGGGUGAAAUCAGGGGUCUUCGGACCUUUUGCGGUUAAAUGAAGCGAGGUCGGAUUAGCUAGUUGGCGGGGUAAAGGCCCACCAAGGCGACGAUGCGUAGCCGGUCUGAGAGGAUGAUCAGCCACACUGGAACUGGGACACGGUCCAGACUCCUACGGGAGGCAGCAGUAGGGAAUCUUGGACAAUGGGCGAAAGCCUGAUCCAGCAAUACCGCGUGGGUGAUGAAGGCCUUCGGGUUGUAAAGCUCUUUUGUUGGGAAAGAACAGCAGCAGGUUAAUCCCUCGAUGUUCUGACGGUACCCAAAGAGUAAGCACCGGCUAACUUCGUG